rnacentral:tRNA from 1 species
AUUAGCUUGGCAGAUAAGUGCAUUGGAUUUAAGUUCCAAAUAGUGUAGUUAAUA